UCACGGAAGUUAAGCAUCGUAGAGCCAGGUCAGUACUUAGAUGGGGACCACUUGGGAACACCUGGUACUGUAAGC
rnacentral:rRNA from 1 species